rnacentral:piRNA from 1 species
GAAACUCUGUGUGGAAAUAGGUGGU